GUUAUGACCAGAUGGGACAUGACUUUUGUCAAAGGUUUCUCGCGAGAAAAGGGAAAGUUGACCUAACGGCAACCAUGACAAAACCACUCUAAAGACCAAAUAAGACUGGCUGACAAGAUCGCCUUCAUGUCCAACACAAGGAGUAGCAACGUUUCUCCUCUGAGAGGCGUUUUAAGGUGCCGGACCGCAGGAAGAACAAGUACAAGCACUCUUUUGUUCCUCACUCCAUAAUACUGCUCAAAAACAGUCAACCUGAUGCAAAGCAGUGACACUUGUUCCACUGCAUGAGGCCAAAGUAUUGUAUUUUGUCAAACAUAAUUUCUACAUGAAGCACACACGUAGUUAUUUUGUGUUGUCAACACUUGAUUACUGCUGUUGUCUUUCUUUUGAGUGACCAUUCUGCUGGUCCUGGUCUAGACGCCUGGCUUCCACAGAUGUUCAAUACCAAACGCCUGCCACGGCCCAUUUUGUUUGUGUAUCUGGCAAGUUUAAUAUAGAGUUGUUUUGUUUAUUUUCUAACUCUGAGUUGCUACCAAACUGGUUAGUUUUGUGUUAUACUGAGGUCAGGUUUAAUUCACUGAGUUCUGUUGCAGUUCAGUUUGCUGUAUUUUAAGUUCAGUUAAGUUGACUUCUUUUAGACAACAUAUUGCUUAAUAAUCACUUUUUUCUUGCUUUCUCUCCCUUUUGUGGAUAAAUAAAAAAACUUCAGAAACCUGCA